GACGAGUCACUACGGUGAUGAAGUAGCUCAUGCCCCGCUUCCAGGAAAAGCCUCUAAGCUCUAGAUUAUCAUUAAUCGUACCCCAAACCGACACAGGUGGUCAGGUAGAGAAUACUCAGGCGCUUGAGAGAACUCGGGUGAAGGAACUAGGCAAAAUGGUGCCGUAACUUCGGGAGAAGGCACGCUGGCGCUAGGUGAAGUCCCU
rnacentral:rRNA from 1 species